UGGGGAAUAUUGGACAAUGGGCGAAAGCCUGAUCCAGCCAUGCCGCGUGUGUGAAGAAGGUCUUCGGAUUGUAAAGCACUUUAAGUUGGGAGGAAGGGCAUUAACCUAAUACGUUAGUGUUUUGACGUUACCGACAGAAUAAGCACCGGCUAACUCUGUGCCAGCAGCCGCGGUAAUACAGAGGGUGCAAGCGUUAAUCGGAAUUACUGGGCGUAAAGCGCGCGUAGGUGGUUUGUUAAGUUGGAUGUGAAAUCCCCGGGCUCAACCUGGGAACUGCAUUCAAAACUGACGGACUAGAGUAUGGUAGAGGGUGGUGGAAUUUCCUGUGUAGCGGUGAAAUGCGUAGAUAUAGGAAGGAACACCAGUGGCGAAGGCGACCACCUGGACUAAUACUGACACUGAGGUGCGAAAGCGUGGGGAGCAAACA
rnacentral:rRNA from 1 species